CACCCCGCCCUGCCGGGGCGGGACGAGCAGCCAGCAAGGCUCCGAGGCGUGUAAAAGCGAGGAAGAAGGGCGAGAAGCACGGAACGACCGGCCGGGCUGAGCUGCUGAGACGGUUGCACUGGAAGUGCACACGAGCAAACGUCUGAAAUGGCAUCUGAGGGAGAUAAACUUUGGGGGGGAAGAUUCAGCGGAAGCACAGAUCCCAUCAUGGAGAAGCUCAACUCUUCCAUUGCCUGUGAUCAGAGACUGUCUGAAGUUGAUAUCCAGGGGAGCAUUGCUUAUGCCAAAGCCUUGGAGAAGGCUGGCAUCCUAACUAAGACAGAGCUGGAGAAGAUCCUGAGUGGCCUGGAAAAGGUAUUUAUUUCCUUCAUAAACUGUAAAGCAU